GACGAACGCUGGCGGCGUGCCUAACACAUGCAAGUCGAACGGAAAGGCCCCGCUGGGGGUACUCGUGUGGCGAACGGGUGUGUAACACGUGAGUAACCUGCCCUUGACUUCGGGAUAACUUCAGGGAACUGGGGCGAAUUCCGGAUAGGGAUCCUUGCUGCAAGGUGGGGGUUGGAAAGCUUUAGCGGUUUUUGAUGGACUGGCGGCCUAUUAGCUUGUUGGUGGGGUAGUGGCUUACCAAGGCUUUGACGGGUAGCUGGCCUGAGAGGGCGACCAGCCACAUUGGGACUUAGAUGCGGCCCAGAUGCCUACGAGAGGCAGAAGGGGGAAAUAUUGCACAAUGGGCGGCGGCCUGAUGCAGCAGCGCCGCGUGCGGUAUGACGGCUUUCGGGUUGUAGACCGCUUUUAGCAGGGGCGAUGCAUGUGUUGACGGUACCUACAGAAGAAGCACCGGCUAACUACGUG
rnacentral:rRNA from 1 species